GCCUUUAUGGUGUAGUGGUCAGCACGCUCUGGGCGUACUCAAGUUCGAGAGGUCCGUGGUUCGAGUCCCGGCGAGAGCA
rnacentral:tRNA from 1 species